CCAGUAGCGGCGAGCGAACGGGGAGCAGCCCAGAGUCUGAAUCAGCUUGUGUGUUAGUGGAACGGUCUGGAAAGUCCGACGGUACAGGGUGAUAGUCCCGUACACCAAAAUGCACAGGCUGUGAACUCGAAGAGUAGGGCGGGACACGUGGUAUCCUGUCUGAAUAUGGGGGGACCAUCCUCCAAGGCUAAAUACUCCUGACUGACCGAUAGUGAACCAGUACCGUGAGGGAAAGGC
rnacentral:rRNA from 1 species